GGGAAAGUGGCUCAGUGGUAGAGCUCUUGCCUUGCAUGCAUGAGGCCCUGGGUUCAAUUCCCCAGCACCA
rnacentral:tRNA from 1 species